UUACGGCCAUGGCACGUUGAAACACCGGUUCUCGUCCGAUCACCGAAGUUAAGCAACGUCGAGCCUGCUCACUAUCUAGAUGGGUGACCGCUUGGAAAUACGAUGUACU